rnacentral:rRNA from 1 species
UACGGAGGGUGCGAGCGUUGUUCGGAAUUACUGGGCGUAAAGGGGGCGUAGGCGGUUUGUUAAGUCAAGUGUGAAAGUCCACGGCUUAACUGUGGAAGUGCAUUUGAGACUGGCAGGCUAGAGUUUCGGAAGGGAAAGUGGAAUUCCUGGUGUAGGGGUGAAAUCCGUAGAUAUCAGGAGGAAUACCGGUGGCGAAGGCGACUUUCUGGACGAAUACUGACGCUGAGGCCCGAAAGCGUGGGGAGCAAACAGG